AGAACAAUGUUAUAAAGAAGUACAAAUACACGAAUAAGUCAAACCAUUCUUAAGUGAAAAAUAUAUGUGGCAUGAAUGUUGCCUCACAAUAUUUUGAAACCUUAAAAAAGGAAAUAGCCCAAUAAUUUCCAGUAUCUCUGCUCAGGUUAUAAUACUGACAUCUAUCUCCAUGGGAGGUGUUGACAUUUUGCUGAAACCUUCCAAGACGGGAACUCCUGCUGUGGAUAGGAGAUGCCAUUUCAUUGAAAAUGAGAAAUCAGAAGUCAAAUAUACUUUAUUCAUAAAAGCUGAACUCAAGACUUUUGGGAAAUAACGUGUAUGUGCAAACAAAUACAUACUCCAGAGAAAUUCCUCAUCUCAGAAAUAACCUUUAUUAUUAGUUACUAAUUGUAUUGACUUAUUCUAAAACAAGCAGUACAAAAUAACAUAUCGAUGUAUUAUUUUUCUAAAUUACAAAAAUAGAUUCACUAUUAGGUCUGUAAUACUUUUGACACAUAACUUUUAGUAAUAUAUCUUGUUUAGUUGACUAUUUGUAGUUAUCUUGGUGUGUCUUAUACAAUUCAUGACAUUAGAAUUGAAAACUGAAGUUAGAAAUUUUUUUCUGAUAUACAGUAAGAUUUGAUUGAUUUGAGAUGUGGACUGGUUUUGCUCACUAUCUUCUAUGAUAAAUAUUUAUUAAAAAUGAGCUAAAUCUGCCGAGGCAAAGUUAUGAUUAAAAUGUGUUUAAGUUAUAUUAAAAACAAGGAUUCCUAUGCAAUGCUUGUUUCCUCUGUCAAUUGUUAAGUUUAUCAUGGGUAAGUCGCAAUCAUUAUAUUGCUAUUUUCAGUGCAUAGUAUGAUAUUGAGUACAUAUUUAGCAUUUAAUAAAUAUGUAAUGAUGGAAAUGUAAAUACUUGAAUAUUGCUAAAUAGAAGAACAUUUUCUUUCUAAUUAGAGGUCAAAUCAGGAUUAAAAAGCUCCUUAUGUUGGAUUCUUUUGAUAUUAUUUGUUGAUAGGGGUCUAUGGCCUCAAUCAAUUUUCUUUUUAAAUUAAUACACUUUGUUUUUUGAGUUGUUUUAGGCUCACAGCAAAAUCGAAUGAAAAGUACAGAAGGUUCCCAUCUACGCCCUGUCUUCACACACAAAUAGCCUCCCCCCACUAUCACCAUGCUACACAUCACAGUGGUACCCAGAAUUACUUUUUGACCAUUUGAGUAUUUGUGGCACAGCUAGAUUUUGAAUCUGUUUGAUUGGACUCAGAUACAUGUGUGCAUUUCAGUACUUUCAGAACUACUAGUGUAAAGAGUGAAGAUCAGAGUGGAGGGGCAGGAUCCAUCCACAUGGGGUGUGGUCAUAGUAAACCUCUCAGAUCUCAAUUCCUGCUUCACAAAGCAGCUAUGAUAUAACUUUUAAAAUCUGGUUUCACCAAUUUCCUGGAAAAAGUUACUCUGCUCUGUGGUGAUUGAAUUUUGUGUAUAUUUCUAUUAAUAUGCCUGCUAUAUUUUAGUUAAAUUUAACUUGUUUAUUGCUGGAUGGUAUACCCCAAAGAAGGAACUGUGUUGUCUUCAUCUCUAGUGCAAAGCUCAAUGCCUGGCAGAUUGAAAAUAUUAAUACAUUAACUUGGAUUUAAUAAGUAUCUUCUAUGUGUGAGACAUUUAAAUAAGUAUUUAAUGCAUAGUAGUGUUUAGUCCUCCUACCAACCAUGUAUAGACUAUUCAGUCUUAUUUUAGAAUGAGAAAAUAAGAAUUUACACAAGGUCACAUAUAUAGCCAAGCCAGUAUACCCAAUAAACACUAUAAAUCCUGUAUUUGGAGCUACAGAUUAUCAAAGUAUCUGAAAUGUAAAAACAAAAAAUCUAAAACUCUUCAAAAUUAAAACAAAUAUUUAAAUGAUCACUAAAUUUAACAGCCUCAGUAAGUGUUAAGUACUCAUAAAAACCUCAUUUAGAAAGAAUUUAUGGUGAGGUUUCUCACUUUACACAAUGAUUACUGAGAAAUUAUAGGCAACGGUAAAUUAAAUGUGAUUCACAACCAAAGGGAUCAAAAAUAAAUUUAUUUUAAAAUUUCAAAAUUUUAUAGCUAAUAUAUUUAACAUGGCAUGUCCUCACUUUUAAAUAUAUCUGAUAUGAUAUGAAGGGGAUGGGUCUCGAUUGUAAGAAUGCACAGCACUAUUGAGCUAAAAUAUGACCCUGAAGCAAGUGGUAGGCUGACAUUCCCAGUUUCAUUUUUCUAGUCUGCCUUCUGUGAUGACCAUGUUUAUAGGUUAAAUUAAUAAGUGUUUUGGUAAUUAAAACUAUGUGGAAUUUAGUAUCAAAAUACAUUUUUUCUUAGAACACAUACAUUUGUUCUAUUAUCCCCAUUUACGGCCCACCAUUCUUCAUGGCUUGGUUAAAAUUCAAAUACUUCUAAUGAGAACAUCACUUUACAUUGAUACUUUCUGUAUUUUUAACACUUAACUUUCUAUUUAAGAUUCUAUUUGAUUAUUAAAUGCUGUGAUUAAAAUGUCUUGAUAAAUUGAGUUCGUCUAAUAAAUAUAGCUUUUCAUGACUAUUAAUCUUUAUUUGCAUUGCCUAGUGAUACAGAUUAUAUUGUGAUUACUAGUAAUUUCCGUUUUUUACAGCUUUCAUAAGACAUAUUUCAUAUGCUAUAAAUUCACCCACUUAAAGUUUGCAGAUAGAUUUUGUUUUAAGAGUUUUGCAACCAUCCCCACAAUAGAAUUUUAGCCAAAUAGAAACUG
rnacentral:lncRNA from 1 species